UUGUGAUCCGCCUGCCUCGGCCUCCCAAAGUGCUGGGAUUACAGGCAUGAGCCACUGUGCCCGGCCUGACAUGUUGUAUUUUCAUUUUCAUUCUGUUCAGAAUAUUUUCUACUUUCCCUUGAGAUUUCUUCUUUGACCCCUGAAUAAUUUAGAUGUGUAUUGUUUAAUUUUUAAAUAUUUGGGAUUUCUCAGAUUUUGUGUUAACAAUUUCUCAUUUAAUUAUGUGAUAGUCAAAGAAUAUACUAUGUAUUAUUUUAAUUCAUUUAAAUUUAUUCUGGUUUGUUUUGUUAUCCAGAAUGCAAUCUAUCUUGGUGAAUGCAUUCUGCAUUUUUUUUACAUGCACCUGAAAAAAAACUGUGUAUUCUGUUGUCAUUGAGUGGAGUGUUCUGUUAGUAGCAGUUAUAUCACAUUGAUUGCUCAUGUUGUUCAGGUCUUCCAUAUCCUUGCUGAUUUUCUGUCUACUUAUACCAGUUACUGAGAGAGGAGUGUUGACAUCUCCAAGUAUAAUUGUGGAUUUGUCUGUUUCUGUUUUCAGUUCUAUCAGUUUUUCCUUCAUGUAUCUUAAAGCUCUAUUGUUAGUUGUAUUACAUUUUGGAUUGUUAUGAGUUCUUGGUGAAUUGAACAUUUUAUUAUCAUGUAAUAUUCUUUAUCCCUGGUAAUUGUCCUUGUUCAGAUUCUACUUUAUUACUAAUAUAGCUACUUCAUUCUUUUUUAAACAAUAAAUAUUUGGAUGAUAUAGCUUUUCUCAUCAUUUUACUUUUUUCCCCCUCUAGACUUUCAUCUUUCCAUGUAUGUGUCAAAAGUCAAAAUUACAACAAAUUUAGUGCAAAUACUUAAUUUGCUUUUAUUGGCAAUUCUAGAAUGGGGUAACAUCUUAUUCCAUAAAACAGAAUGGAUAUUCUGAUGAGUUGCGCAGAGGAGGCUGGCUUUACAAGCAGAAAAGGGCUGCAGAAAGCAGAAAUGGAACAAAAGGGAAUUAUUAACAUCAGUUAGUUCAGGUUACUUUCUUACACGGUUAAAACAGAGGGGGACUUCCUUAUGCUAGUUCAGACAAGCCGAGUCCCCUUCUGGUUAGUUGCUGUGAAUCUCCUGCUUCAUUUUGUUUUAAUUGGCUCAUUUCAAAGUUCACUGUGAUUGCCUUGCACUUAAUAUGAAUGACUCCAUUCUGGUUUGGUCUGAUCUUAGGACAGGAGCUCAGUCCAAAACAAUAGCCUCCCACAAAAUUCAUUUAGCAUAUUUAAUUUCUGAUAUGGUUUGGAUUUGUGUCCCCACCCAAAUCUCAUGUUGAAUUGUAAUCCCCAAUGUUGGAGGAGGGACCUGGUGGGAGGUGAUUGGAUCAUGGGGACAGACAUCCCCCUCACUGUUCUUGUGAUAGUGAGUUCUCACAAUAUUUGGUUGUUUAAAAGUGUGUAGCACCUCCCCUUGCUUUCUCUUCCUCCUGCUCCUGCCAUAUAAGACAUGCCUGCUUCCCCUUCACCUUCCGCCAUGAUUGUAAGUUUCCUGAGGCCUCCCCAGCCAUGCUUGCAAAACCAUGAGCCAAUUAAACCUCUUUUCUUUAUAAAUUACCCAGUCUCAGGUAUUUCUUUAUAGUAGUGUGAGAAUGAACUAAUACAAUUUCCUUCUUCAACAAGGAGAAUUAUGUCUCUUAUUAUCCUUCAUAUAUAAUUUGGAAUUUUUUUAAUUCCCCAAAUACAUAUGAAGUAGCUAAAUAAGAAUUAACCCAUAUCACCAAAACAAACAAAAAACACCCCCUACUGACUAGAGUUCAAAAUUUGAUUAUAGUGUUUUUUGUCUUUAGACUGAGGACAUAUAGUGUAAAUAUUGUUUUCAAAAUAUUAGUUGGCUUAAUCUCCCUUUCCACUACCAUUUACUCUGAUUAUGUUAUUCUUUGAAACAAAAUUUAGUUAGUUUCUUUUGGUUUUAGUUCAUGUUAGGUUUUAAGGUUCCUCCUAUCUUUGUUGACUUUUUUUCGUAGUAUGUAAAAUAUUAACAUAGUCACAAAAGUCAUAACUAUGCCAACAAGUUAGAUCCAGAGAAGUGUCAGUGCCCCAACCCCUCUACCAUGUACCAAUCUCAUUAGUUUAUCUACCUGGUGUUUCUUUUGCUAAAAUAAACAAGUGUUGUACAUGCAUAUUUUAUUUCCCCUCUUUGUUUAUACAAAAGGGAACUAUUAUAUAGAUACUCCUUUGCAUAGUUUCAAAAAAACUUAAUAGACCUUUUUUUUAAAGCAGUUUUAGAUUUACAGAAAAAUUGAACAUAACAUACUGAAAUUUCCCUUACAUCUCGUCUCCCACUCCACCCCCUGCCCUAUUUCCCCUAUUAUUAACAUCUUGCAUUAGUGUGAUGCAUUUGUUACAAUUGGUAAGCAAAUAUUCAUACAUCAUUAUUAACUAAGGCCCACAGUUUGCAUUAGGGCUCACUCUGUGUUUUACAUUCUGUGGGCUUUGACAAAUGUUUAAUACCAUGCAUCCAUUAUUGCAGUAUCAUUCAGAAUAGUUUUGCUGCCCUAAAACUCCCUUGUGUUCCACUUAUUCAUUCCUCCCUUCCUGCUUCUGACAGCCACUAAUAUUUUUACUGUCAUCAUAGUUUUGUCUUUCUAGAAUGUUACAUAGUUAGAAUCAUAGAGUAUGUAGCCUUUUCAGAUUUGUUCAUUCACUUAACAAUAUGCAUUUAAGGUUCCUUCAUGUCUUUUUGUGGCUUGAUAGCUCAUUUCUUUUUAGCACUGAGCAAUAUUCCAUUGUAUGGAUAUGCCAGAGUCUGUUAUCCAUUCACCUGUUGAAGCAUAUCUUGGUUGCUUCCAAGUUUUGUCAAUUGUGAAUAAAGCUGCUACACAUAUUCAUGUGCAGGUUUUUUUUGUGGGCAUGUUUUCAACUCAUUGGGUAUAGGUAUAUAUAUAAUAAUGAUUGCUGGAUUAUUUGGAAAGGGUACUCUUAGUUUCAUAAGAAGAGCCAAACUGUCUUCCAAAGUUGCUGUGUUAUUUUGCAUUCUCACCAACAGUGUUCUUGUUUGUCCCACAGUUUGUCAGCAGUUAGUGCUAUGUGUGGUUUGGAUUUUGGCCAUUCUAAUAGGUGUGAAGUAGUGUUUUGUUGUUUUAAUUUGUAAUUCCCUAAUGACAUAUGACGUUGAGCAUUUUGUCAUAUGCUUACUUACUGUCUGUAGAUGGUAAGGUGUCUGGUUAGAUCUUUUGCCUAUUUUUAAAUUGUGACGCUUGUUGAGUUUUUAGAGUUCUUUGUUUUGGAUACCAGUCUUUUUAUCACAUACAUAUUUUGCAGAUAUUUUCUCCCAGUCUGGGGUUUGUCUUUUCAUUCUCUUUGCAGUCUUCAUCAUUUUACUUUUUAACUUAUAUAUAUUAUUAUAUUUCAAGUAGAUUGCUUUUAGAAAGAAACCUUGAUCUUCUUUGGUUUUUUAAAAAUCUAAUCUAACAAUCUGUUUUUUUAAUUGGUGUUUAGAUAAUUUACAUUUAAUGUAUUUUUAAAAGUUUUUGGUAAAAUACACAUAGCAUAAAAUUUGCCCUCUUAACCAUUUUGAAGUGUAUAGUUCAGUGGCAUUAAGGACAUUCACAUUGUUGUGCAGCCAUCAGUGGCAUCCAUCUCCGGAGCACUUUUCAUCUUGCAAAACUGAAGCUUUGUACUCAUUACACAAAAACUCCCCAUUUGACCGCCUUCAUAUAAGUGGACUCAGGUAGUAUUUUUCCUUUUGUGUCCGGCUUAUUUAAUUUACCAUAGUGUCCUUAGGUUUCAUCUAUGUUGUAGCACAUGUCAGAAUUUCCUUCCUUUUUAAGGUUGAAUAAUAUUUCAUUUUAUGUAUAGUUGACCCUUGAACAACAUGGGUUUGAAUCAUGCAGUUCCACUUAUUAUGUGGAGUUUCUUUCACCACUGCCACCCCUGAGACAGCAAAACCAACCCCUUCCUCCUGCCUCUCCCCCUCAGCCUGCUCAACAUGAAGAUGACAAGGAUGAUACCUCCAGCUAAUGAAAAGUAAAUAUAUUUUCUCUUCAUUAUUAUUUUCUUAAUAGUACUUUCUCUAGCUUACUUUAUUGUAAGAAUACAGUAUAUUCACAUAUUAACACACAAAAUAUAUUAAUCAACUGUUUAUGUUAUCAGUAAGGCUAUUAGUCAACAGCAGGCUAUUAGUAGUUAACUUUUUGGGGAGUCAAAAGUUACACAUAGAUUUUUGACUACACAGGAGUCAGCACCCUUAAACCUCAUGUUGUGGAAGGGUCAGCUGUAUAUAACAAAUUUUGUUUAUCCACUCAUCCUUUGAUGGACACUCGGGUUGCUUCCAGUUUUUGGCUGUUGUAAAUAAUGCUAUGAACAUGAGUAUACAAAUAUAAAAUGAAUGUGCAUGAGUGUGAAGUACCCGCUUUCCUUUCUUUUGUGUGUAUAUCCCAGAAGUGGAAUUCCAUUUUUAUGGAUCAUAUAGCAAUUCCAUUUUUAGUCUUUUUGGGUGUGUGUGUGUAGUGUCACUCUCAUUUUAUUUUUUUAAGGAAUUGUCAUACUGUUUUCCAUAGCAGCUGUAUCAUUUUACUUUCCCACGAACAGUGCACAAGGUUCUAAUUUCUCCAUAAUCUCACUGAUACUUAUUUUCUGGGGUUUUGUUUGUGUGUGUGUUUCAUAUAGCAGCCAUCCUAAUGGUUGUUAGGUGGUUUACAUUUUUACAUUUAAUGUAAUUAUUUAUAUGUUUGGAUUUAACUCUACCAUUGUAUUGUAGGUUUUCUGUUUGUCUCCUCUGUUUCUUAUUCCUCUGGAUUCUUUCGGAUUAUUUAAAGUUUGAGUAUUUCCUUUUAUUUCUUUAUUAGCUUCUUGACUGUAUUUCUUCAUAUAGCUUUUAGGGAUUUCUCUGGGGCUUACAAUAUACAUACCUAACUUUUCACAAUGUACCUAAAGUUAAUAUUUUUCUACCUUAAGUAAUAUAUGGAAAUCUUCCAGCCAUAUGUUAUAUUUGACAUAUGAAUUACAUACAUUGAAAACUCUACUAGACAAGGUUAUAAUUUUUGCUUCCAAUAGCCACAAAUAUUUUUAAGAACUUAAAGGGUAAGACAUAAUCUGUUAUAUUUACACAGACAUUUAUUGUUUGUGUUGCUCUUCCUUUGUUGAUGAAGUCCAGGUUUUAUUUUCCUUCCACCUAAAGAAUUUCCUUUAGCAUCUCUUUUGGAGAAGGUCUAGUAGUGACAAAUUCUUAGUUUUCCUUCAUUUGAGAAUUUCUUUAUUUUGCCUUUAUUUCCGAAGAAUAUGUUCACCAGACCUAGAAUUCUGGGUUGACAAUUCUGCCCUUUCAGCACUUUAAAAUGUUAUUUCAUGGCCUUCUAGCCUCCAUGGUUUCUAAUGAGAAAUUCACAGUCAUUUGAAUUAUGAUUUAUAUAUAAUGCAUUGUUUUUCUCUGGCUUUUUUUUUUUUUUUUUUUUUUUUGAGACAGAGUCUUGCUCUGUCGUCCAGGCUGGAGUGCAGUGGCGAGAUCUCGGCUCACUGCAAGCUCCGCCUCCUAGGUUCACGCCAUUCUCCUG
rnacentral:lncRNA from 1 species